AUACGGAGGAUGCAAGCGUUAUCCGGAUUUAUUGGGUUUAAAGGGUGCGUAGGCGGAUGAUUAAGCGUGAGGUGAAAUGCCACUGCUCAACAGUGGAACUGCCUCGCGAACUGGUUGUCUUGAAUGCUCCUGCCGUGGGAGGAAUGUGUGGUGUAGCGGUGAAAUGCAUAGAGAUCACACAGAACACCGAUUGCGAAGGCACCUCACGAAGGGGUGAUUGACGCUGAGGCACGAAAGCGUGGGGAUCAAACAGGAUUAGAUACCCUGGUAGUCCACGCAGUAAACGAUGAUAACUAACCGCUGGGUCGUAGUGAUUCAGUGGCCAAGCGAAAGCGAUAAGUUAUCCACCUGGGGAGUACGACCGCAAGGUUGAAACUCAAAUGAAUUGACGGGG
rnacentral:rRNA from 1 species